GACGAAGGAUGCAAGCGUUAUCCGGAUUCAUUGGGUUUAAAGGGAGCGUAGGUGGCCUGCUAAGUCAGCGGUGAAAUCUCUGGGCUUAACCCAGAAAUGCCAUUGAUACUGGUGGGCUUGAGUGCAGUUGCUGUUGGCGGAAUAUGACAUGUAGUGGUGAAAUACGUAGAGAUGUCAUAGAACACCGAUUGCGAAGGCAGCUAACAAAAACUGUAACUGACACUGAGGCUCGAAAGUGUGGGGAUCAAACAGG
rnacentral:rRNA from 1 species